rnacentral:rRNA from 1 species
CCUACGGGUGGCAGCAGUGGGGAAUAUUGCACAAUGGGGGAAACCCUGAUGCAGCGACGCCGCGUGAGUGAAGAAGUAUUUCGGUAUGUAAAGCUCUAUCAGCAGGGAAGAAGCAAGACGGUACCUGACUAAGAAGCCCCGGCUAACUACGUGCCAGCAGCCGCGGUAAUACGUAGGGGGCAAGCGUUAUCCGGAAUUACUGGGUGUAAAGGGAGCGUAGACGGCAAUGCAAGUCCGGAGUGGAAUGCGGCAGCUCAACUGCCGAACUGCUCUGGAAACUGUAUGGCUUGAGUGCAGGAGGGGUAAGCGGAAUUCCUGGUGUAGCGGUGAAAGGCGUAGAUAUCAGGAGGAACACCGGUGGCGAAGGCGGCUUACUGGACUGUAACUGACGUUGAGGCUCGAAAGCGUGGGGAGCAAACAGGAUUAGAUACCCGUGUAGUC